ACCCCAAUAUGAACCAAUCCCGAUCCCACCGGAUUGUAACCCAAUCCCACCCCUCUCCUUCCUUGCGUGGAUCCUCCUCCCUCUCUACCAACAUCGCCUUCUCCUCCACCUCUCUCCAAUGGCGCCGCUCCCUCAAGCUCCAAACCCUACCCCGCAGGUCUCCUCCUUCCUUCUCCCUCCUCCACCGUAGGAGCUUACGAUCCUCUUCCUUCUCUGCUCCUCAGGAGGGAGUGCCCUAACACCGAGUGCGGGGCGGGGACGUUCAUCGCCAACCACUUCGAUCGCCAUUACUGCGGCAACCACGAACUCUUCUUCUUCGACUCUCCUCUCAACUGCUUCUACACAAAGGGGUCGCCUGAGAUCACAAAAAAAAAAGAUGGUGAAUGUUGUUGCUGUUCUAGGUAGCAAUGAGGGUGUCAAAGGCACAAUCAACUUCACCCAGGAAGGAGAUGGUCCAACAACUGUGAUUGGGAUGAUCGGGAGCAUAUCUGGCCUCAAACUGGGGCUAUAUGGCUUCCAUGUCUAGGCACUUAUUGGUGACACUAUCUGAUUUGUGGAGAUGAGUUAUGGAUCGACCUUUGAACUCUCCCUCACACCCCUCUCCUUGUUGCUCUCUUGCUGGUUGGUUUUCUGCGGAGCACGCAAUCAACAACAGCUAUAACAAUCAGCCGACAGCAGCAACAUCAGCAUGCUGGCAGCAUUGAGUCGAGAAUUGGGAGCUAAAUUGGAUAUGAUUCGAUGCUCCAUUUUCGAAAUUGAGCUCUUAUAUUUGUGUGGGGAGAAGUUGAGAAUCAUCUUGUACCUUCCUUGAGCUGGAUUUGCAGGAACUGAGUUUGGAAGGAUUGGAAGCGAUCUCAACUUCAUCCUUUUGUGGUUAGAAUCUUGUUUGGACCAAUUUGGAGUGAUCAAGUGAGUUUUCUGGUGGAUUAAAAUCCUGGGAACACACUUUAGAGUAUGUUGGUGUUCCUCAUUCCCUUGGUUAUCCCGUGGAUUAGCCCUUGGAGCGGAGACAGCAGCAAGUAUUUUUGGCAAUUAGUUUUGAUUUGGACCUUAUUGCUACGAUUUGAUGCUUCUAGGGUGUUUUUGAAGUACAGAGGAACAUGGGAAUUAUGUUUCAACUAUUGGUUUGAGGAGACACGAACAUGGGAAUUAAGUUUCAACUAUUGGUUUGAGGACGGGUUGACUAAUGUGAACGAGCAAACAAUUGUACUAACAUUCGUAGACGCAUCCUUCCUCGCCAUUUGCACAAAAGAGCUCAACAAGUGUUUUAAUUAGAUCGACAUCCACAGAUGACGAACCCGUGGGAGCGUCGUAUCACAUUUGUGAUCCAGUCAUGGGAGAUGAAGGAAAGCUAUAUGUUCCACAAGAGUUGGUAUCUGUGCAUCGAGAAAAGGUCGUUCCUGUUGCUUCUAUGCUUACUCCAAAUCAAUUUGAAGCUGAACUACUGAUUGGAUUGAGGAUAAACACUAAGAGCUGAAUGAUAGCUCAACAUAAGCAAGGGAGGUUCCAAAUGUUAUGAACUUUAUGAGCUGAAUGAUAGCUCCGAUUCUCGACCCGGCGAUCCCCAUAUCUCCCUUGCUAUCGCCCAUGACCUACUCGGCCCCGCGAGGACGAUCCUCGACGAUCCGAUCCGAGCCCUCAGCGGUGCCGCUUCUCGAUUCCUCUUCUCAAUUUGGUGCUCCGAUCCAUUGAUACCAAUUUUCACUUUGUUGGGUGGCAAACUUUUACUGAACUCUUAAUUCAACUUCGGUCGCACUUUGUUGGGUGGCAAACUUUUACUGAACUCUUAAUUCAACUUAGGUCGCACUGUCUAUAUAUUUUAUUAGAACAGCUGGAGCUGCGGAAAUUGAAGUGGGAAGCAAGAAUUUCAAACAUGCGGUGUUUGUUAUUUUUUAGCUACAUUUUGAACAAGUAUUUUUUGUUAGAACUUAUGUUUGAAAUUUAAUUUGAAUACUGAGAUUGUAAUUUGAGAGUUGA